rnacentral:lncRNA from 1 species
UAUAAACUUCAUUUGUCAAAUUAAGCCAAUUUUGAGGUGUUUUUUUGUUAAUUUACUUAAUCCAUUUUCAACAUUAAAUAUGAUAAAUGCUACUUGCAUAUUUAAAAUUAUUUUCUAAUUCAUAUAAUUUGAUCUUGGGACUUUCAGUGGCAGAUCCAGAAAUUUUCAUAAGAGGGGGCCCACUGACUGACCUAAGAGGGGGCCCGCUACAGUCACGCUUCAGUGAUACCCUAUAUAAGCAACCAAUUUUUUU